AACGAACGCUGGCGGCAGGCCUAACACAUGCAAGUCGAGCGAGGACUUCGGUCCUAGCGGCGGACGGGUGAGUAACGCGUGGGAACGUGCCCUUUGCUUCGGAAUAGCCCUGGGAAACUGGGAGUAAUACCGGAUGAGCCCUUUGGGGGAAAGAUUUAUCGGCGAAGGAUCGGCCCGCGUUGGAUUAGGUAGUUGGUGGGGUAAUGGCCUACCAAGCCGACGAUCCAUAGCUGGUUUGAGAGGAUGAUCAGCCACACUGGGACCGAGACACGGCCCAGACUCCUACGGGAGGCAGCAGUGGGGAAUCUUAGACAAUGGGGGAAACCCUGAUCGAGCCAUGCCGCGUGAGCGAUGAAGGCCUUAGGGUUGUAAAGCUCUUUCAGCUGGGAAGAUAAUGACGGUACCAGCAGAAGAAGCCCCGGCUAACUCCGUG
rnacentral:rRNA from 1 species